ACGGUUCAAAUUGCCAUCCCUAAGAACGAGGAAGACAACGCCAUCAAAAAUUCGAUCGACGUAGUUGCACAAUUUCCUUCGAAACCUUGCAGGUUAAGAAUUUCAAAUCUGAAUUCCAUUUUAUAUUUUAUUUUAAUAUUUAGGGUUUAGGGCAAUAUAGUGACUGUAAUCUAGUUCUGCACAAAUAUAAAGAACCAUGGACCUUGACAUGUGCAUUGUAGGGCAAUAUAGUGACUGCAAUCUAGAAAUUGAAGGAUUUAUGUCCAAGUACGUUGUAUAUGCACAAUUUGCAUAUAUAAAGUUCGAUUCACAGAAAUGCCUAGAUUUUGAGGUAAGAUGAUGGUGAAUUGAUUGCUUAGAAAGAUAGUUUGUGUUUUUUUUUUCUCCAAAUUUUUUAUGGGAUGAGAUCAUAGAGGGGAAAAGUUACCAAGGUUCAUAUCUUUUUCUGAUUAAGUAAUAUAUUUGAAAGGAAGAAACAUGAUAACGUUAUUAAUCCUGUCAAUUUAUGAUGAACCAGUAAUAUUUUUGUGAAUGAAUCAGGAUUGUUGAUGGUUGGGAAGAACAGAAGAAUGUCAUUCUUGUAAGGGGUAGGACACAUGAUGCUGGAAUGCCCCAAAAAGAGGAGAUGCCCAAACUAUGGAGAGGGGUUCGUUAGAUGGUUGGACGUGAUUCAAUUCUUGUACUCGCAACUAUAGGUCCUUCAAGUUUUGUAACGUUUUGCCCGAUGAAGAGUAUCUGUUGCAAGGUAAAUCAAGUGGCACUACCAAAGGAAGUGAACAUGUCCAUGAUUUGUCUCGUAUGUUAAAAGUAUGUGCAGAAAUAAUCGAGGAGCGGGACUUGGAGAUUUCACUUAACAUAACCAUGUGCAAGGAAAAACGAGUUUCAGGAGAUUUAAUCUGAUUUAUGUGUAUUUGGAUAAUUUCGACCUCUAUAUCUAAUUGUCGCUUCUUGAUUUCGUAUAUACUGGCUUUAAAUUGCUGAGUGACAAUUGAUGCAUCCA
rnacentral:lncRNA from 1 species